AUGUACCCACGGACACUCCGGUUCCUCCGCGCCGUCCGCACCCACCUGACGACUGCUCGCUACGUUUUGUUAGCC
rfam:Xanthomonas campestris pv. campestris str. ATCC 33913, complete genome.